rnacentral:lncRNA from 1 species
UUGUUCUACUCGGUUUUAUUCUUAUUGCUCAGGCUUGAGUGCACUGGCCUCUUCUCAGCUCAACCUCCGCCUCUUGGGUUCGGGUAAUGAUGGUUCCACGUCAGCGGCCCUCCGCCUCUUGGGUUUGCGUGACGGUUCCACGUCACCGACCCUCCGCCUCUUGGGUUCGGGUGAUGAUGGUUCCACGUCAGCGGCCCUCCGCCUCUUGGGUUUGCGUGACGGUUCCACAUCACCGACCCUCCGCCUCUUGGGUUCGGGUGAUGAUGGUUCCACGUCAGCGGCCCUCCGCCUCUUGGGUUUGCGUGACGGUUCCACGUCACCGACCCUCCGCCUCUUGGGUUCGGGAGGUGGUUCCAUCUCAGCCGCCCUCUGCCUCUUGGGUUUGCGUGGUUUUUCUGCCUCAGCCUCCUGAGUAGCUAAGGGAGGUGUCUUGAGAUUAUCAUCGGCUGAGGGUGGAAGCGGCCCCCGCAGACGCUCGGCAGGUGUCUUGAUAUUAUCAUCUGCUGAGGGUGGAGCUGAGGGUGGAAGGGGAGUGAGCUGACGCUCGGAAGGUGUCUUGAGAUUAUCAUCCGCUGAGGGUGGAAGCGGCCCCCGCAGACGCUCGGCAGGUGUCUUGAUAUUAUCAUCUGCUGAGGGUGGAGCUGAGGGUGGAAGGGGAGUGAGCUGACGCUCGGAAGGUGUCUUGAGAUUAUCAUCCGCUGAGGGUGGAAGCGGCCCCCGCAGACGCUCGGCAGGUGUCUUGAUAUUAUCAUCUGCUGAGGGUGGAGCUGAGGGUGGAAGGGGAGUGAGCUGACGCUCGGAAGGUGUCUUGAGAUUAUCAUCCGCUGAGGGUGGAAGGGGAUGGAGCAGACACUCGGCACGUGUCUUGAGAUUAUCAUCCGCUGAGGGUGGAGCUGAGGGUGGAGCUGAGGGUGGAAGGGGAGUGAGCAGACACUCGGGAGGUGUCUUGAGAUUAUCAUCCGCUGAGGGUGGAAGGGGAGUGAGCAGACACUCGGGAGGUGUCUUGAGAUUAUCAUCCGCUGAGGGUGGAAGGGGAGUGAGCAGACACUCAGGAGGUGUCUUGAGAUUAUCAUCCGCUGAGGGUGGAAGGGGAGUGAGCACACACUCGGGAGGUGUCUUGAGAUUAUCAUCCGCUGAGGGUGGAAGGGGAGUGAGCACACACUCGGGAGGUGUCUUGAGGCUCAGGGAGUUAUCAGUUAUAGAAUGUUGUUGAGUUGGAGGAGGUGGCUGGUGGCCCAUCCUGUUUUUUAAAGUUUCAGCUGUGAGGUAGGGCCAGUAGGGCAAUCCUGAAGAAUGACGAUGCUCCGCUGCCGCCAUUCUGACCUGUAGGGCCAAAGGAGGGAAUGUUU